CUCGGGUUCAAGCAAUUCUCCUGCCUCAGCCUCCCGAGUAACUGGGAUUACAGGUGUGUGCCACUACACCCAGCUAAUUUUUGUAUUUUUAGUAGAGACGGGGUUUCACCAUGUUGGCCAGGAUGGUCUUGAUCUCUUGACCUUGUGAUCAACCUGCCUCAGCCUCCCAAAGUGCUGCAAUUACAGGCGUGAGCCACUGCGCCCAGCAUUAUUUUCAAAUUUUCUUAACCUGAAAUUCAUCUGAUUCCUAGGGUCUGAAGUCUCUUUGAACGAAACAUAUCUCCCACCACAAAGCUGCCCUUGGUUGGGUGUGGGGUACAAAGGAACCAGGUGGUGAACUGCGAUUGGAGCCCAGAUACAUGUUUUGCUAAUGUGUGCCAGUGCUCUGGCCCAGAGUACCAGCUUCAGUAGUUCAUGGUGACGGUACAUGGCUUUAACAGUGCCAGCCAAUUCAGCAAACUCCUUCACACCUUUUAUUUUGUUUAAUUAUCCUACCAACCCUGAGAGUACAGAUGCAAUUAUCAUCAGCCCCAUGUUACAAAAUGAGAGACUGAAGCAUGUGAUAGUAGCUGAGGCUGGCUUGGGACUCUGGUCUUCUGAAGCUGGCUAAGGAUGAUUGUAGGAAGGGUUAUCUAAGGAGUGACAGAAGGGAGGCCCUCAUUACCUGUCAUUUUAGGAAAGAACUUGUUUCUUGAAGCUUGAGGCUUAAAUGCAAUCCUGUCAUGUUGAUUUGUAGGUGAAGGUAAAAAGGCUCUGAGAUCCAAAGUGAAGGUCCUAGACAAGCAGAAGGCAAAGCCACUGAGUCUGAAAGCAGUGGGGAAGUCCUUCCUUCCAUUUCUUCCCCUCUAAAUCUUCCAGCAUAGGACUUCCCUGCUUAAGCACCUUUGUUGUCUCCCCAUUGCCCAUAGAAGACAAUGCAAUGUCAUUAACAGGGCACUGAGAGUCGUGUACAGACUACCUCCAAAAGACAUUUCCAUUUUUAUCUCUUAGAUGCUCUGAGUUUUUUACUUGGUACUUGCAUAUAUGUUGCAUUUUACCAUGUCGGUGCCUUUGCUUAGCUCUUCCCUCUGAGGAAAAUUCCCCUUCCCCUUGGUUUCUACUUGUACAUUUAUUUAAGUACUUAUUCAUUUAGUCAGUGAGUGAAUGAAGUAUCUACCAUUAUAUUCUUGAGGCACUGGGAAUACAAUAGAAAACAUCAUAAAAUAUCAGAGUCUCUGCUUUCACUGGGGAAGGUGAAAAGUAUUAAACAAUUACACAAAUAUAUAUGGACAAACUCUUAAAAUAAAUAGUGCAAUAAGAUACUGUGCCACAAAGUCCUAGAUAUGCUGGGAUAUCAAUGAGGGCUUUUUGAGGUGGGAUAUUUAAGUUGACCUUUAAGACCUCUGAUACCAUCAGGACAGUUCAGGGACAGAAUCUUCUAUAAAACUGAUUCAAGAGGCUGGUUGGAGUAUUGGAAGUCACAGACCCAGUGAGAAGGCGGGUUGCACUAAAAUAGGAAUCCUUCCUUCCCUCCUGGCCUCCGCAGCAAUUCCCAAAAUAGGAAGCGAACAGAAUUGUGUUUGUGUUCGAAGCUGAAAUUAUUCUUGUUUCCCUCCUCCCUGCAUGCUACCCCUGCCGACAUGUUUCUCACCCAUCUCAGUAUUCACUUUAGAGUCAUAAAGAGCCUAACAUGAACAUCUCCCAUGUACCAAACAUGUGCUAGGUACUUGAUGCACAUCUUUACAUAAAUCCUUACUGCAAUGUGCUGAGGUCAGUAUUACCAUUCUAAUUGUAUAAAUGGGGAGACUGAGGCUCAGUCAGAUUAAGAGGUUUUCCAGGUUUACAUAGGUAGUGGUAGAGCUGAGAUUCCAGGUCAGCUGGUCGCACCCACUCGUCCUAGCACUGCUCUCUGGAGCACACAGAGCACAUCUGCUUCCUUGUCCCCCCAGCCCCUCAGCUUUGAAGACAACAACCUGGCCUACCUCCAAGUCAUCUCUUCUCCAGGCCAAGCUUCCCAGCCAUUAGCUUUAAUCCCAAGGUUGGCAGGUUUACAGCCUUUCUACCCUUAAUUGUUCUUCUUUCACUGGGCUUUUGCCUUGUUCCUUUGGGGAGCAAAUCUAAGCAUGCUGCUCCAGCAAGUAGAUUCCUCCCACAACUCCCACUGACCUGCAUCUGAAAGCCAAUACCUCACCAUGACUAAUAAAGCCCUGUGUGACUGGCCUCUGCCUCUCCAGUCUUACAUUUUAACGUUUACCCAACUACCAUCUCCUCUACCACCCCUCACCCUAACACUCUACACUCUGAACUUUCUGAAGUCCUCCAUUCUUUCUUACCACUCCUCCUAACAUAUCUAUUCCUGGGCCUUCAGUUAACGGACUCCUAUUUAUGAGAGGUUAAGUCUUCAUAAGAAAAGUCUGCUGUGAUCAUGUGAGUUAUGGUGAAUGUUCUUCCUCCUUGCUCACAGGACCCCCAUGUUUUCUAGGUCCUACCUCUUGGUGUGCUGGAUUGUGACUGUCAUCUUAUAUCUGACAUCUGACUCCCCCAUUGUGAGCUAUUUAAAAGCAGAAAAAUAGGUUUGACUUUCCUUUCAUUACAUUCCCAGUGGCAUAUAUUAGGUGUUCAGGGAAAACAGAGGGCAGCAAAGAAGAAAGAAGGGAGAGGGGGAGAGAGGAAAGACUCAAAGGAACACAUGGCUCUUGGUGGGCUCAAUCUUAUUGACAUGUCUUGUGAGAAGGAAACUAUCUUAACUGAAUAUGCACAUGUGUACAUGCUCGCACACACACGCAGACACACACAAAUACACACAUACCCCUUUUGUCCCACCAUCCCUUUCCCUUAUAUAUUCCUUAUAACAAUUCUGAUAAGCAGAUAUUCCCAUUCUACAGGUGCCAAAAGUAAGGCCUAUCAGAGGUGUCUUAGUUCAGAGAUGAAAUGAGUAGACCUGAAAUUCAAGUGAUAGCAACAUUUACUUGUUCAAUUAUUCAUCCAUGCAUUAUACGUGCUUUGGUAACUCUCUGUUCCAUAUUUGGUGUUGGUCACUGGGAAACAAGGGACUCAGACUUAUUCCUGACCUAGACAAAGUCUAAAGGAGGACAAGAAGUGAAACAAUGCAAUGCAAUAGUCACAGCCAGGUAGAAAUAUGUGCUGGGUGCUGUGUGAGCAAUAAGGAAGGAGCAGGAAGCUUUCCCUAAGCAGGAAGCAUUGGAGCUGGGUUUUGAGGGAGAAAUGGGAACUUGUCAGGCAGACAACAAAAGCGAGGUACAUUCUAAGCAGUGGCUGUGGGAAAAGGAAAAGGAGAGAAUCAGGAAAGGUGAUAGGUAAAGACUUGUACCUUUAAGUCACCAGAGUACUCAGUCUGCCCCAGCUGACCCCUGGUGUUGGAGUCUAGCCAACCUUGGAGUGUGCAUUGGCCUCCAGUUAGAGCUGGCUUACUUAGCAGGGGAUGUUGGUUAAUUAUUUGGCACUGUGUUCCAGCCUACUGAGCAGUGUUAGACAUAACAGAGGGAACCAGAGGUGAUAGAUGGUGAUGGGAAAGCAAAAUUGCUUCUUAGAGUUUGCUUCCUGACUGUGCCUACUGUAAAACACACUAUUAGAAGGAAGAAAAUCUUUGCUCUAUUAAUGAAUAAACAUGGAAUAAAUAGUUAGAUGAUUCAAAAACCAAGCCAUUGCCCCUCUAGAAUCUUGGGAAGUCUGAUGCCAGAAGAGUUGGUACAAGCAAUAAGAAUGUUUUAUAUCAAAUCGUCCUGGUAUGUUUGGUGUAGUGCAAUUGAAUGAAAAGGUCCUGGCUGGAACCAUGAGACCUAGGUUUGCAUUCUGUCUCUCAAACUCAUUAGGUCAACUCUGAUGCCACUUAGGCAAUGUGGAUGCCAAGAAGGCCAAUGCGAUCAAAGCCCGUGUUACUAGAAAUCUAAUUAUAAACCAAGGAGGGAUAUAUUUAUUAGGGUUCUCCAGAGAUAUAGAACCAAUAAGACAUGUGUGUGGGUUACACACACAUACACACACGUACACAUAUGUAUACACACACACACACACAUUCCUGUAGGUGUUCAGUGAAAACAGAGGGCAGGAAAGAAGAAAGAAGGGAGAGAGGAAAGAGUCAAAGAAACACAUGGCUCUUGGUGGGUUCACAGUCUUAUUGACAUGUCUUGGGAGAAGGAAACUAUCUUAAUGGCAUAUGCACAUGCACACAUGCAUGCACACACACACACAUACACAUACAAACACACACACACACACCCCUUUUGUCCCACCAUCUCUUUCCCUUAUAUAUUCCUGGUAACAAUUCUAUUAUACAGAUUAUAUAUGUGUAUAUAUACACACACUACACACACACACACAUACAUUAUAUAUAUACACAUGACAUAUAUACACACAUAUGUGUGUGUGUAUAUAUAUAAUGUGUGUGUAUAUGUAUGUGUGUGUAUGUGUGUGUGUGUGUGUGUAUAUAUAUAUAUUUGCUAUAAAGAACUGGGUCAUGAAAUUAUGAAGAUUGGCAAGUUCCAGGAUCUGCAGUCAGCAAGCCGGAGUUCCAAGAGAGUGAAUGGUGUAGUUUAUUUUGUUUGUUUAUUUAGAGGAAUCAUGACACCUAAUUUUGAUAACUACUGUAAAGUUACUAUAAUCAAGACAGUGUGGUAUUGACAAAUAUAUAUACAUUUAGAUCAAUAGAGCAGAGUAGAGAGUUCUACCCACGCAAAUAUGGUCAAUUGAUUUUGAACUAAGAUGCAAAGGCAAUUCAAUGAAGAAAAAAUUCUCUUUCAACAGAUGGUGCUGGAACAAUUGGACUUCACCUAAAUCAAAUCAUAUAGCAUGUGCUCUUCUGGGUCUGAUUGCUUCUUUAACAUAUUGUUUUUUAGAUUUAUCCACAUUGUUGCCUGUGUCAGAACUUUAUUCCUUUUCAGUCUUCUUUAGCAUUCCAUUGCUCAUAAUACACUGUAAUUUAUCAGUUCACCUAUUUGAAUUAUUUUCAGUUUUUGGCUUUUCUGGAAAAAUAUGCUACCAACAUUCUUGAACAAGUCUUUUUUGUGAAUAUAUGUUUUGAUUUCAUUGAAUAAGUAGCCAGGAAUAUAAUUGCAGGAUCAAGUAUAUAAACUUCCAGUUUUCCAAGGUGUUAGUAUCACUUUAUAACUCCUCCCAGUUGUGUCCAGUUUCUCCAUACCUUUUUCAAUACUGGAUGUUGUCAGUCCUUUUGAUUUUUGUCACUCCAGUAAGUGUUCAGUAGUAUUUCAUUAUGGCUUUAAUUUGCAUUUCCCCAACAAGUAAUGGUGUUCAACACCUUUUCAUGAGUUUAUUGGACAUUCAAAUAUCUUCACUGGAUCAUCUCUUUGUCAUGCACUUAUAUGAGUCCUUCAUAUAUUUUGGAUAUAAAUCAUUUGCUAGUUAUAUUACUAUCAAUGCUCUCCCCCAUCGUUGCCUGCCUUUUCCCUUUCUUAAUAUCUUUAAUUUUUUAAAAUUUUAGAUUUGGGGGCACAUGUGUAGGUUUUGUUACAUGGAUAUAUUGCAUAAUGGUGAGGUUUGGACUGCUAGUGUACUCAUCACCCACAUAGUAAUUGUUGUCCCCAACAGGUAAUUCUUUCACCUUCACCAUUCUCCUACUCUCCCAGCUUUUGGAGUCCCCAGUGUCUAUUAUUUUCAUCUUUAUAGCUGUAUGUAUCCAUUGUUUAGCUCGCAUUUGUACAUGAGAACAUGUGGUAUUUGACUUUCUGUUUCUGAAUUAUUUCACUUAGGAUGGUGGCCUCCAGCUCCAUCCAUGUUGCUUCAAAGGACAUGAUUUCUUUUUUUAUGGCUGCAUAGUAUUUUGUGGUGUAUAGAUACCACAUUUUCUUAAUCCAGUCAGCCACCGAUGGACACUUAGGCUGAUUCCAUGACUUUGCAAUUGUGAAUUGUGCUGUGAUAAAAAUACAAGUACAUGUGUCUUUUUGAAACAAUGAUUUCUUUUCUUUUGGGUAGAUGCACAGUAGUGGCAUUGCUAGGUCAGAUGGUAGUUGUAUUUUUAGUUCUUUGAGAAAUCUCCAUACUGUUUUUCAUAGAUGUUAUACUAACCUACAUUUCCAUCAACAUGUAUAAGAGAUCCCUUUUCUUUACAUCCACACUAAUAUCUGUUAUUGUUUUACUUUUUAGUGAUAGCCAUUCUGACUGGCAUAAGAUGACAUCUCAGUGUGGUUUUAAUCUGCAUUUCUCUGAUUAUUAGUGAUGUUGACAUUUUUUCAUAUGUUUGUUGGCCACUAGUAUGUCUUCUUUUGAGAAAUGUCUGUUCACAUCAUUUGUCCAGUUUUUAAUGGGAUUGUUUAUUUGUUUUUCUUGUUGACUUGUUUGAGUUCAUUGUAGAUUCUGGAUAUCAGUCCUUUGUCAGAGACAUCAUUUGUAAAUAUUUUCUCUCAUUCUGUAGCUUAUUCAUUUACUCUGUUAUUUCUUGAGGUGUGUAGAAACUUUAACAUUUGUUAAGUCCCCUAAUGGCGUAGCUCUAAUCUGAGUCCAAAGGCCUGAGAACUAGGAGAGCCAAUGGUUCUCAGUCCAAAGGCCUGAGGACUAGAUAGGGCCAACUGUAGUUUCAGUCCAAAGGUUGACAGGCUCAAGACCUAGAAAGAGCUGAUAUUUCGGUUGGAGUUUGAAGGCAGGGAAAAAUCUGGUGUCCCAGUUCAAAAGAAGUGAGGUAAGAGGAGUUCUCUCUUAUUCAGGGAAUAAUAUCCUCUUAUUUAGCCUUUUGUUCUAUUCAGACUUUCAACUGAUUGGAUGAGGCCCACCCACAUUAUGGAGGGCGAUCUACUUUACUCAGCAGUAAAGCAGAGUUUAACAUUUGUCAAUUUAAAUGUUAAAAUCAUCCAAAAAUGCCCUCCCAGAAACACCCAAAAUAAUGUUUGAUCCAAUAUUUGGGUACCCCAGGCCCAGUCAAGUUGACACAUACACUUAACGAUCACAAGGAGUGAUGAUGCCUCUACAUUCUACCAGUCUCUGUCUCUGGGGAACCCAAAUUCAGUUCAGAUCUUGAAAAGUUAAAUUAGAGUGUUUGCUAAGGAAGUCUCAGGGCCCAGAAGGUACUCAGAACUAUAGCACUGGCAUCAAAAGAACCUGAGGAUAAAAAAUAGAAAAUCCAGAGAAAAGACCUUAUCUUCAGUCUAUGUGAUUUCUUGUUUCACUUUUUUCACCUGUAACGUAGAAAUAAUAAUUGUGCUUACUUAGAAGGGAAGUUAGGAAGGUUGAAUUAGAUAAUCAGCAUGAAAGCACACAGCACAAUGCAGAAAGCAGCAGAAUGGCUUUGUGUGGCUACUUGAGGGUAAACUAUGGUUGGAGAGCAGAGUUAGAGAGGGCCCAUUUUACGCUCAAUAGAAGAACCACUUGAACCAAGAGUGGGGUUAUCAGCUUUCUUAGGUGGCAAGAUCCCCAUCACUGGAUGUGUGUGAACAAAAGCUGGAUCACCUAUUGGCAAGAAUACUUUAAAGAGAACAGAAACACCAUACAUUGGUAGAUGGGCUAAAGCCUAUUAAAAGUCUUGCAAAGAACUCCUUAUAAAUAAAAGUUAUUCUCCUUCUAGAGCUUGUUUUUCCUCCAAUGUCAAAUGCAAACACUUGACUAGAUUUCUAGGGGCUCUUGUAAGUCUAGCGUUCCUUGGUUCACAAUUUGCCACUUUCGCCAGAACUACUGCUGCAGUCCCCAGAUUGGCCUCUCUACCUUCAACCUGUUUCUGUAUCCCCUACAGAUCCACCCCUUAAAUCCAUUCCCAAGUCCAUGCUGAAGCCAGAGAGACCUUCUUGGCAUAUAAUACUUCCUGAUCCUGCUUCACACUCUUGAUGGUUCCUAAUUGCCCUCAGGAUAAAUGCCAACCUCACCAGCCUUUCUCAGAGAAGGGCUGCUUUAAACUGGCAUUCAAGGCUCUUUAAAAUCUAGACUAAUGACCCCUUUUAUUACUCCUUGUCAUGCACCCAACAUUUUAGCCACAGUCAAGUGCUGGUUAUUCCCCAAAACAUAACAGAUUCUUUCAUACUUCCAUACUUUUCUGUCCUGUUUUAGUUUUCCAGAAUGCUCUAUCUGCUUAUCUGCUUCCUGAUCCUUCAAAAUCUAUUUUGAAUAUCGCCAUCUCUAGGCAGCUCUCACUGAUCACCCAGGCUGGUUUAGGAGAAAACUCUCUGUAUCAACCUUUUUCGCACAGCAGCAGAAUUGUCCUUCCUCAAUAUUUCAUGAAGCUUUGAGGCCAAAGACAAGCAUUGAGUCCAUUGUGUAUAUUUUAAUACUUGUUUCCUAACUGAAUGAAAAUAUAUUUCCAUGAUGCAGACUAGCAUUCUCACUCCAGGAUGAGGAAUACAGUGAGUUUGUGAGGUCACCAUUAUGAUAAAUCAUUUCCUUUGCUUGCCAGUCAAUAUAUGUUUAUUCAAGAAAAACAUAAGAAAAAAUAGACUUAAAAUGCUCAAAGACCUAUCACCUUGCUAUACUGAUGUAUUUCUUUCCAGGGUUUUUUUUUUUUUUUGGCAUGCGUAUUUUAAAGAAGAUGUCAAAUACCUAAUUUUGUUCUUAUUCUUUUUUCUCUUAAUAGUACAGCAUUAAAAUUUUCCAUGUUAAUAUGUAGUUUUUCAUAGCCAUUGUUUUUAACAACUAGAUAAUAUUCCAUCAAUUAAAUAAGUAAGUAAAUAACUUUUUGGUUGAACAUUUAAGUGCAUAUUUUUUCACCACUAUAAAAAAUUCAGUGACAGGCAUCUUUGUGGAUGAAGCAUUUCUUUGUGUUUAGGAUUUGUUUCUGAGGAUCAGUGUCUGUGGUUGUUUUUAUCUUGUGAAAAUCAGGGCCUUUAUCUAGCAUCUGCCUGUGUUUUCUCCCCCAAACCUCCCAGACCAAAAAAAACAAAAACUGACAUCAGUGCCCUAAGAGUCACUUAAUGCAGUGUUUCAUGUAUGGGUCCCAAUUAAGGCAACGUGCCCCUUUUCAAAUAUGGCCAUAAAUAUUUUCCUUCAGUGAAGUAGAUGCCAAGGAGAUAAUAUUGAUUGCAAAUUACAGCCUUUGUAAUUAACCAAUUUACGCAGCUGGAAGAUGGAGCUAGUGAAAUCAUUUGCUUCUGAAGGAGAAUGUGGCCUCCCCAAAUCUGACUAUCAGAUAUGAGUUUGGCCUAAUCCCGGGAAUGCUUCUGGUGAGACUGAAGACUAGUCACUGAGGCUCUGGACAAACUGGAUUGUAUUAAGCCUUUUGCCUGCUGACUACACAGCCUCCACCACUCACCCAAAAUGGAUCUGCAUCUGCAAGCACACAAAAACACACACUGGGAAGGGAUAUGAGCUGAGUUUAGCCCUAGGUGCUGCACUCACUGUUCAGGACGUGGAGGAGGGAGGCCCAGGCAGCAGCACCAGACUGGGCUUCCAGUUCUACAGCUACUGUGCGAGCUGGCUCCAGACAGAUGGGGGCAGCAAAGAGCCAGCCUGGUCAGCUGGGAUUCUAGUUGACCAAAGCUGUUGGGAGAACUCAAGCUCAUCAGUGUGGCAAGUUGAUCUUGAUACUGUGACAACUUGGUCUGGACACAUGCAUAGAUGGAAUAGGGGUCUAGAAACAGAAUACUACUACUCCCGUGAUAAAGAAUCUUUAGGGGCAGGAAAUAGCAGCAUUCAAAAUGUCAUACGUGGGUAGAGGAGUGGGCAGUUGUCUCUGACUUUCAUAAAACUCUUGGGCAAAUGCCCCUCCUCAUCUUUAUUUCCAAUUUUUCUUAUUUGUGUUCAAUCUAUUGUCAAAUAUUUGCAAUUCCUAGAAUGGACUAAUUUCUAUUUCAUUUCCAGGCUUUUGCACAUGUUGGUCCCUCAGCGUUGAAUGACUUCCUUCACCCUCAUUGGUCUAGUUAAUUCCUAUUCAUCCUGACCACCUUUGAGGGUAUUCUCUGAGCCCCUCCUUGCCUAAACAGAUGUAGGUAUAUUUUCUGUGCUUUCACAGUGGUUUGCACAAACCUCUAUCAUAGUGUGUAUCAUAUUACUGCACAUAUACUGCAUACAUCUUUCAUUAGAUUGUGGAUGCUUUACAGACAGAACCAUAUCUUAUUCACAUCUCUUCUGGGCACAUAGUUGGUGCUCAAACAUUUGCUGAAUGAAUGAAUGUAUGCAUGAAGAAGCAUCUUUCAAGAUUCUUACAAGAGUUCUGAGGGUACUAGAGAUUUCAUGCUAUUGAUUAUAGGGACUAGUUACCAUAAUCUUUGAGGGAAAUGAGAGCUGACCCUUAAACCUGAGGUUUUACAGACCGGCAUUUCCUUCCUCUCUUUAGAAACAUGAUCAGUUUCUUGCCUUUGUAGUCAUCUGGUUAAAAGAUAUUCCAAAUUCUUAUUAUACCUCAUGAAACAUAUACCUAUUUCUUAUCUUAUUCCUACAAAUGCCUGAAUGUAGAGGCCAGGUCCCACAACAGUUGUGUUUGAGUUACUUUUAGAUUGACUUGGCAAAGCAAAAUCUGGCUGUUAAGCCAUAAAAGGAUGAUCUCAGAUAUGAUCAAGGGACUUCAGAUCGUAACUGCCCAUCCAAAAAGUGACAAUGUAACUAUUUCAAAGGUUACCUUUAGUGCUCAACUUGUACACAACCUUCUCCCCACCCAACCACUGCUAAUCUGAGGUAAGCAUUUAACUGUAAUUCUAUAUAGCAAAAUCCAUAAUCAAUAGAACUGGCCAGAUCUCUUGCUAGCUCUCUGUCUCUGUCUCUGUCUCUGUCUCUGUCUCUGUCUCUCUCUCUCUCUCUCUCUCUACACAUACACACACACACACACCCCAGUUCCUCAAUGAGUGGCCAAAAUCUGCCCAUGUUUUAUUUAGUUUGAGCAGCUAAUGCUAGAACAAAGGUAAUGAAUUAUAUUAAUUACAUUAGAGAUAUUUUAGAGAACUAAGAUUUGCUUUCAGAAACAGAGAGCACAUCUGACUGAGCUGAGUUGAUAGCAACAUGCAGAUAAUUAACAGCUAAUAACAUUAGCGUCAUAAUUAGAACUAUCUUGAUCUCUUAACCCAUCUGCCUUUCUGAUUUUGAGAUCCAUACAGUGAAGAACAAGAUGACUUUUCUUUUUUUUCUUUCUCUAUCUUGAUUUGCCUGUAUGCCUAUAAUAGAUCUUUCCCAAAUACAUAUUACUAACUGCUAUCAUUCACUUUCUUCCUAGUGUGUGCCAGGUGCUCUAUAGAUACUGAGUAUAUGAAGAAUAUAUUACACACUCAACCCUUGAGGGAUUAAAUAUAGUUUACUUCUUCAAAGAACUUACCUGGUAGGAAUUAUGACACCUAUUUUUAUAGAUGAGGAAACUGAAUGAAAUCACUUGUUGAAAACCACUGAGCUGGUUAACUAAGUACAGAUUCAAAAUUAGUUCUACUGACUCCUGUUCUUUCCAGCAUGCCACGGUGCUCUACAAAUGGCCAUUAUUGCUAUUACUUUGAUAAUAGCAAUUGGUAUUGCUACUUCUGGUUGCCAACCAACUAAUUGCUGGUUGACUUUCUGGUAUUCAACUCACUCUUCUGUUCAACAGUGAAGGAAAACAUGAAAGGGAAAAUGUAAUGAACAUGAGGUCAAGUACUCUACCUAGUUGUUUGAAAAAUUCACCAGUAUUGUUAAAACAAUCAGUCCCUGGAGUCCCAAGAAGAGAUGAGCAAAUGAUCUGAACAGAAAUUUCUCAAAAUACAAACAAAUGACCAAAAAAUAUAUGGAAAAUGCUGAACAUCAUUAAUCAUCAAGGAAAUGCAAAGGAAAACCACAAUGAGGUAUUAUCUUACCUAUAAGGAUGGCUAUUAUUGAAAAGACAAAAAUAAUAAAUGCUGGCAAGGAUGUGGAGAAAAGGAAACGCUUAUACACUGUUGAUGGGAAUGUAAACUAGCACAGCUCUGUGGAGAACAAUAUGGAGGUUCCUCAAAAAAGUACAAAUAGAACUACUAUAUGCUCCAGCAAUCCCGCUACUGGGCAUUUAUCAAAAGGAAAGGAAAUCAGUAUAUAAAAAAGGCAUCUGUACCACCAUAUUUAUUGCAGAACUGUUAACAACAGCAAAGAUAUAGACUUGAUCAAGGUAUCCAGCAACAGAUGAAUGGGUAAACUGUGGUGUAUAUACACAAUGGAAUGCUAUUCAAUCAUUAAAAAGACUGAUAUCCUGUCAUUUAUGGCAACAUGGAAUAAGCUGGAGGACACUCUGUAAAGUGAAAUAAGCCAGGAAUAGAAAGUUAAACAGCACAUGUUCUCACUCAUAUGUGGAUGCUAAAAAAAAAAAAAAAAUGAUUGGAUCUCAUAAGGAGAGAGUUGCUAAAGGAUACAAAAUUACAGGUAGAUAGGAGGAAUAAGUUCUAGUGUCUAUGUAACUGUAAGAUGACUGUUGUUAACAAUAAUAAUUAUAUAGUUUCAGCUAGAAAUAUAAUAUUGAACGUUCUCGGCACAAAGAAAUGUGUUGAGAUGAUAGAUAUGCUAAUUACCUUGAUCUGAUCACUAUAUAUUAUAUGUAUAUCAAAAUAUCACUGUUUCCCAUAAAUAUGGACAAUUAUUACAUGUCAAUUAAAAAUUAUUUUUAAAAAGUAGCAAAGGAGCAGAACUCAGUGAUGGGAAAAUCAAGCAGGAAGUUCUUAAAUGUUCAUAUUAGCAAGUAAAUGGCACCAGUGAGGUUUGAACUCUUGGCUUAGGAUCAAGAGAAGAGCAAAGAGAUUCAAGGUCCCAAGGAGGAGGUUGACAGGGAUCUGGGGGACAGUCAGUCUCUGGCUAAACCUAAUAGACAGCAAUAUCACUAAAGGUGUUGCUGAAAUAACCUCAUGACAUUUUGCCAGGGGACUCAAAAAUACCCAUAUCUAACCUCACCUCAGCCAAUUUUCCCUGGCAGCUCCUUGAGGCAAAUAUAUUCACAAGAGAGGAUAAGUUAGUUAUUAUUAUUAUUAUCUAGGAUUUUGGCUCCAAAUCCCAGUGCAUAACAUGACUGAGCUAAGCUGAACUAAAAUGAAGGUCCUUUUCUCCCAAGCUAGUGAGGCUCAAAUGGUCUAGAAACAAUACAGCUCCUCAGUCCUCUCUUGUUUUCCCCCAGUGCCCUCUCCUAAGCCUUAAUUUGAAGAAAAAAAGAAACUACCCAAAAUGUCUCCAUCAGAGCCAGAGAAAGGGAACAGAGAAGUCUACCCAGGAAGGGUAGUAAGUCUAGCACUAGGACCUACCUUACCCAAUUUUGCUCCAUCAUCAGCUAUUGUUUUCCACCAAGACUUCAAGGAAGGGAAAUAUACAAAAUCUGACCCAUGAGAAGCAAAGCAAAACCUUAUUGUUAGCUGGAAACUUGAGCUCAAACCCUAGUGCAGAGAGCCCUGGUGGCCACGUUGUAGACAUGAUAAAGAAUAAAUGAGACAAUACAUGAAGUUUCUAUCAUCAAGCCUCGACUCCCUUUAGAUGAGGUCAGCCUCCUCCUGGAAGCCUAGGAUCACUUCUCUCAUCUCUUGAACCUCAGCCAAGAGUCCAGAUCUCCCUAAUGCCAUGUGCUUACAAAUCUGGACAUCUAAGAACAACUGCUUGAUUUUCUCAUUGCUUAUUUCUGCUCAUGAACUGAAGUUUUUGUUCUGUUUUUCUCCCAGUUCAUCUCGCAAGCCUGCCUGUAUUUCUCUAAAACGAUAUAACACUGUCUCUUCUUCAUAUAUUGCAUUCAUUUUUUCCCUCAGCAGACAUUACUGUCUUUUAGAAACUUCCUAAUCCACUCCCUCUGGGUACCUCACUUUGCCUCCAGUCUGGUUUAGGUGUCUCUUCUGUGCUUCAGCAGCCUCCUUGGCUUCUGUCUCGCAAAGCACUUAUCACUCCAUAUUAUUUUUUAGUUUACUCUAAUGUUUCUCUCCCAGAAAUGAAAUCCUUAAAGGCUGGGAAUGUAUCUGAUUCAUUGCUGUUUCUCCAGAGUUUAGCCCAGGAUUUGGCACAGAACAGACUCUAGAGAGUAUUUGAUGAAUAAAUAACUUAAGAAAUUACUGAGUUUGUCUAGACCAGUGCAGUGUUAUCCCGGAGCAGGCAGGGGAAAUAGGAAUAUCUGAUCCAGAGUCCUUGUGAAUUAAGAACCUCCUAAUCUGCUUCCUCCUUCUGUUCUUCAUGACCAUAGCCCUCAAAAUGACUAUUCAUAUACAAUCAUACUCAUCCUCUCCCCCAUCAUGCAGCAUGAAUUCCCUUUGCUAAGACUCCAGAUACUCUGAAUCCAGCUUUGUAGUUUUCACUGGACAAACUUCAGUCUUGAGAAAUGCCCCUCUUGGCCUGAUUCACUCCCUGGGAACUUCUAUCCAUUUUGAUGCCCUCAAAGGCAAUUCCCCACCUGUAAGAUCCCAGCCACACAGCACACCCACACUUAUUAUCUGUCUCAGCUUCAGGUAGUGGCCUCUCGUCAUGUUUCCUGGAUAUGCUGCCCUGACUUCUGGACAGACCUUCCCGAGUUUGCCUUUCUUCCUGAACUUCCAAGUUAUCUCUCACAGUUACCCAAUCCCUGUGUAAGACCUUGCUGAAUGGUUCCUUAUCUUUCAUCUCAGACCCUCUUGAUGCCUGCGUCUUUGGCUGUAAUCAGAAAUAGCCAUGCCCUGGACAUUGCUGUGUCAACCCCUCUAGCAGGAGGCUCUAAAAUCAGAUCCCACCCAUUCCCUAAAUGCCCUAUCUGAUACAACAUAACAUGCUCUUCCUAGAUACGCCCCCAAAAGUCAAUCUAAUGGAGAGGGUUGAACCUCACAGAAACCAGAGUGGGCAGGACAGGGUAGAAUCAAGAAGACACACAUAACUAGGAACCAGGGAUCCCAGAAUAGAAAUCAGAGAAGAAGGGGACUUAAAAAAUACUAGAUGAAAUUUUAGAUCAAAUUUUCAAGAGCAGCAAGUUGUUCAUUUAGUUUGAAAUAAACCUAGAAAGGUAAAGAAUCAGAUCUCUUGGACCCGAAAUAUCAGACCAGAACAUUUGGAUUUGAAACCAUUAAAAAUAGGACGCCACUGUAAAUGCUUUAACAAAGCUGUCCAGGAACAUGCAGAAGGCACAAAACUGGGAUUCAGGAGGCUUGAGCCUGAGAUUCUGGCUUUAUCACUAGAUGUCUAUGUGACUGUGGGCAGUUCUCCUCCCCAGUCUGCCCCAGAUAAACGAUGUACCAAUGUUGAAUGGUCUUAGUGGUUCUUCCAGGCUCUCAGACUCCACGACACAUAUGCGUUUGACCUGAAGAAUUUGAGUUUCUCUCUGUCUAGCAUCCACCCCCUCUACCCACUACCUCAUACUCCCAAUCUGCUAAGAAUCAGAGCUCCAGAGGAACACCUAUUGUGUCCCAUCUGUUGGCGACAUAGCCAGAGAGAGGAAUGCUCUGCCACAUGUGCUCUUGUUUAUUCCUGAUAUUUUCCAGAGAACCAGGGAUGGGGGAAAAGGGGCGGGAGGAAGAGGCCUCCAUGCAGGAUCAGUUGCAAGUAUUGUUGUCCCACUCCAUGUGUAGACACUGGACAAGCACAGCAGACAAUCAGCAUGUGGGAAAACCUGUGCCUUUUACCAACUAGCAUCCUCCAAAGGUCAAAUUUGAGACUUGGAAUUUAAAAAGGAAACAAAUAAAAUGAACAAGCAAGCAGCUCCAAACUGGUUGCCUUGGACACCAUUAGAAGGCUACAUCCCUGACCUUUGUGCCAGUCAGAAUAGGCUGGGCUAGGCUGUUGGUACAAAAAAACUCCAAAAUCUUAGUAGCUCAUUUAUUUGAACAUCACAGUAAAGUUCAUUUAUUUGUUGAACACUAACAAAUUUUGCCAAAGCUGAAAUUUUUAAUAAAAGAAGAAUAGUUUCCAUUUACUGAGUACCUAUUUAUGCCCAGGACUAUGCUAUACACUUUGCAUAAAUCAGCCCCUUUUUACACAUGAAGAAGUUGAGAUUCAGAUUGAUGAAGCGAUUUGACUGAAGUUAUACAUCUAAAAACUGGUAGACUGGGAUUGAAACCCAAGAUGAUCUAGGCCUGAGGGUGUGCUCUUUCCUUACUCCACACUGCCUGUGAAGGGGACCUUGAAGUGACUCAAUCCCUUAUCCACUUCAAUCAGGCACAUCUUGCAUGGAAGCGGGUAAGGAAAAGAAAUCCUCGGACAAAUGGCUUAGGGAAUAUAUUUUUACAUAAAUAAUUUGCAUUGUUCUUUCAGCUUGCCCACUGUCAACAGUGGAGACUACUCAGUGCCCAACCCUCUAUUGUGGACUUGACUCCCCAAAUCAGAAGCACCUCAAGCACAGGAGCUGUGUGUCCCCAGCAGUCAGCCUCACAUUCAGGAGAGUUCUCAGAGCAUGUUUAUUAGUUAAUGAUUGGUUGAAUGAAUGAGUGAAUGCGCAGUUUCAUUCAUUCUUAACAGACUUUUGAGGAAUCUUAUGAUGUAUGGUUGAAAUCAGACCACAGAAUUUUGGAGGGAAAAAUCUGCUUUAUAGCUCCUUAGAUUUCCUGCACUUACUGUAGGGCAGUCAUUAGCUCUUAUGCCACCCUAAAUGCCUGAAGAGGUGGACCCUAUUCCUCAUGCACCCAGAAUAAAGCUGAGAAGGAAUGAGGAAGUAAAUCUGAGGAAUAUUUGAGACAACGAAACAAAGGGACUUACUUACCAACAGGGCGUCAGAAGUAAGGGAAGAAAUACACAAAAAAGCAUAGGGGUACCUAUCUUCGGAAAGUACCUCAGACCACUAGGAGUGAUUUAGAGUUUAAGCAGAGUGUGUUACUGAUGUUUCCCCAGACCUGGAGAAGUGGAACCCCAGACUGCGGGUACAAAUGAGGUUCCACUUGUAAUAAUCACAUGUGACUUGCUGCCUCAUUCCUCUAUCUGUUCCUGCAGGACUCUAGUCUUCCUCAAAGUCUCAUUAGUUAUUUCUAGAUGUCUCCAAGAGGCAUUGUAUGUGAGCUCAGAAAGGAUGCUAUCCACUUCUACGUGAUGUCUACCAUGUUGCUUCCUUCUUGUUCAGCCCAUCCUGUGAGGUUUUCUGCUUCUUGCAUUUGAGAGUGCCCCAUCCUAGUCAGGGCUCUCACUGUCCAGCAGGAGAAAUCCCAUGGUCUAGCCAAGAAUGCUGCCUGUUUAUAAUAUUAAGCUGUCAGAACAAGAAUUACUAUCACAACCAGUUACACCUUUUUUCAAUCUAUAAAUGGGACAAAUGUUCAUCUCUGUCACUCUGUAUUCACAGCUCUGUGGUCUUUCUUGGAAAUAGCUUCUACCUGCAAUUCCUUUCUCCCUGGUGCUCAAACAGGGACCCAUAGAGCUGCUUCAGGAAACUAAUCUCAGGGGCAGACACCAUAUUUUUACUUUCCUCCUUCCCUAAAGUAGGGCUAGUGCACCUCCCUGCUGUGCUAAUUUCAGCCCCCAUGGAUCUUCAUGUGAACAAAACUCUGAAAGAAGUCUGCCCCAACAGUCCUCCAUAGCUUAGUCUAAAGCUAGAACCCCUCUUCUGGAGGAUGAAUACAGUGAUCUCUGUUUCUCAUUCUGGUAUCUUAUAAAAACAUGUCUUAACAUUUUUCUCUAGAUGCAUUUAUUAAACACUUGCUGUGCUCCAGAUAUCAGGUUGGGCACAGUGACUCACGCCUGUAAUCCUAGCACUUUGGGAGGCCGACAUGGGCAGAUCACCUGAUUUCAGGAGUUCGAGACCAGCCUGACCAAUAUGGAGAAACCCCGUCUCUACUAAAAAUACAAAAUUAGCCAGGUGUGGUGGCACAUGCCAUAAUCCCAGCUACUCGGGAGGCUGAGAGAGGAGAAUCACUUUAACCAGGAAGUGGAGGUUGCAGUGAGCCAAGGUGGCACCACUGCACUCCAGCCUGGGCAACAAGAGCGAAACUCCAUGUCAAAAAAACAAGAAAAAGCUUUCUGUGCAGCCCCUCACUUAGUCCUCACCUCAUCUCUAUGGUCUAGGUAUCAUUAGCCCUUCUAUGGCUCCAGGGAGGGAAGUGCCUACCCAAGGCCAGCCGGCUCUGGCACAUUCACUUGAGUCUUAGCCUUUGUUUUGACUCUCUGGCCAUGGCCUCUCUUUGGAGUCUGUUUCUUGCCCUUUGUGAUUACCAGACUCAGCACUUACUCUUUCUUUUCCUUUCAGGGCUUACACAUUAGAUCUGACAGCCAGCAUAUCUUUCCAGCUGUGAUCUCAGGCUCUCUGGGCAAAAAUUUGGUUUUCUCUUCUCUCUGGUUCAUAUAUAGCUUGGGCCUCCUUUCACUUGGGACUCUCCAAAUUUGGCCCUGCCUCAUAAGGGACAUUUAACUGAGCCUGACUUUACCAGAGCCCUAGAAGUUAGGUCUGACAACUUCUUUGUAUUUCUACGUGGCCUUGGGAAGAAUCUUAACAUCUUUGUGCCUCAGUUUAGUUGACCAAAAAGCAAUACUAAUAUCUACCUUGCAGGUUUACUGUGGGAAAUAAUGAGACAGACUGUUUAAAGUGCCUCUAAUGAUGCCUGAAACAGUAACUGUAUAGUAAACAAAGUGCUAUGAAAGAGUAAUCUUCCUGUCAAUUGUAUCUGGUAAGCAGCAAAUACCAUUAUCAUUCCAUUUUAUAGAUGUGGAAACUGAUAUCAAAAAUAGGUUAAAAGACUUACCCCAGGUCCCAGACCUUGAAAAUGGCAGAUCUCAAAUAUGAAGCAGAUCCUGGUAUUUAAUGACUCACUGUCUUAUACUGCUUGGCACAAAGCAGACCCUCUACAAAUAGGGUUAUGCGUUGCUCCUAAAUGAAUAUAUUAAUGAAGAAAUGUUCCUUCUCUUCCCUUUGUGUCAUUGCCUCAGAUACCAGUGCUCUAUCCCAAGACUUGCCCACUGAUUUUCUGUGUCCAGAGGAGAUUAAGAUGUUGCAGUUUUCUUUACCCCUAAAAGCCCUGCCCAGCCCAGUCUCUGGCUGAGUUCCUUGGCCCAGAACAAUACAGGGAGAAAUUCUUUCAUAACUUGGGGGUUACCAAUGGAGCACUCCUGCUGAGGCAGGCCUCUUGCCAAGCAACUUCCACUGCCCAUCUUAUAUGCAGAUGUGUGCAACAAUCCUGCACAUCUGCAUGGGGAACAUUCAAAAGCUAUAAAUUGCCUGGAAAAAAGGAAAAUAUGAGUGUCAGCUCUAUAGGAAUGGAUGCUUCUGAGGGGCCAAGCAGAGGAGGAGAGCAGAUCACACACUGAGAAUAGUUGGCCCAAAGCAGACUGGGGAUGGAGAAACAACACUACACCCCUACUUUCACCUCUCAUAGGGAGGCUCAUGCAAUUUCAGAAGUGUGGAUACCACUGUCUAAUUCGAGUUAUUUCUCUACCAAUGUCCCCAUCUCCCUGAGCCACAAUGUCCUUGAGCCUUUCAGUUUUGUUCUUAAUUUGCAUCACCUCAGUCUGUUAGAAGAAAAGCAAAGCAUGGCAGCAGACCCAACGGUAAGAACCCUGGACUAGGACUGAGACAUCUUUCUUCAAAUGCGUUCAUAUAACUAACAAGUACAGAGCGUCCAUGCUUGUGCCAGGCGCAGAGGGACAGAGAUGAUUCCAUCACAGUCAGGAUGCUCAAGAAGGCGCCACAGUCUAAUGGGGCAGACGGGCAAAGAAAUGAACAACUUCGAAGAAAGCACAGAAAACUUCUGGGAGUGCAGAGUUGGUUAAGGUAAAAGGCAUAUCACAGAAUGCUUCCUAGAGGAGGUAACAUCUGAGUGAAUCUUGAAGAGAUAUGGCAAGUACCCAAGGGAAGAACUUAUGCAUACUAACACCACUGAAGCACUGUUGGAUAUAUGAGAGUAGAUGCUCAUUCACAACCACUGAUAUUUCCACACACAUAUACACACACAAACAUAUGGGCACACAUACACACCUUUGGAGGCAGGUGUAAUACUGGUUGGGAAUAGUUCAUAUGGUAACCCUUGCUGUUCAUCUUGCCACAAUCCAAAUGUCUCCCUUCCCCAGUGGUGCUGUUCCAUGAAAAGCCUUGGCAAGUUUCCUCAGAAUCAGCUACUUUGCCACUGUUACUUUAAAAGCUUCUUUUUCUCCUACCAAAUGGCAAAGGAAGCCAGAGAAAAAUGAAUUCACCAGGGCAUCUUGAGCUGGCUUUUGCUCUUUGUGUCCCCCAGGCUAAUCCCUCAAGAAUCUUGGCUAGAACAAAGAAAGAGCAGGCUUAUGGUUGAAGGGAGUAGUGGUUCAGUGUAAGGAAAAGGCUGACUGUGAAGGGAUAGGUCAUUGCCUUUGAUUCCUGCAGGAGUAUCUGAGGGCAGAAGAAACAAGGCAGAACAACGAUCAGCGUAGGGGCACUAGAGGUAGGGAUUUUGCUCUAUGUGAAUGGCUAUUUCCUCAAGUCAAAGCUGCCUACCAGUGGGAUUAGCAGCUUUAAAAAGUGGUAAGCACUCUGUCCCUGCUGAAGUGUGAGGGGAACAGACCACUGCUUAUGGGAUGAGGAAGAUGUAGCUGGUUGUCAAACACCAGAGGAGAGGUCACAUCUCUUUGCCCUGUUCUGCCGUCUUCACAUGGGAAUUGACUUAGUACCGAGCAAAUAUUCAGGCCUCUAAGAGUCUAAGGAUUUGCAUUUCCAAGGUUAUGGAGAAAGGCAUGUAGUAAAUGUGUAUUUAGGCAUCCCAGAUGCGAAAGGUGUGAUUAUUUUCAGAACCUAAUCUCAUACCUUCCCAUCCUUGCUGAACUGAAUAUUGCAAAUAUAUUCUCAUUUGUAUUUGGAAUGGUGUGUUUCUAAGCAAUCAUCAUUCUGAAUACUCAUCCCAAACAGGAGAUGACCUGAAUAUUUAAUAGAAUAAAAAUGUAUAUAUUAGAUUACUUAUUCAAAUGCCUAUCUGGCAGUUUGGAUAGAAUUAAGCAAUAGUCCAAUCUGCCUGUUGUUUUAUGCAUAGGAUGUCAAAGCUCGUAUUCUUUCCCUGCACAGAACCAUGUCUUGUCCUGUUCACAGAUGGGGAAACAGACUGAGAAGGGGGCAUAGAGUGUGAGAUAGGAGACCCAGGAACAGUGCUACCAUUUGGUGGCUAGGCAAGGUAAUAGUAUUGCUCUUGGACAAAGGAAGCAACUGAGGUUCGGUGUGGUUAAGUAACUUUUGCAGAGUCACAUAGCUGGUAAAUCACAGAGUUGUCUCCAUCCCAGGCUAUUAUUCUCUUGCACUACCUCACUGAGCCCCUAAUAUAGCCCGAGAGUGUGUUUCUCUCCUUUCAUGCCACCUUCAGAUGCUCUGGCAGUACUUCGACUAUGAAAUCUUGGGAAGUGAUGUUAUUAUCCCUGUUCUAUCGUUGGGAAAAUCCCCAUGAGAUAUGGAACUACAUUUUAGAUUCCCCAGACCAGGGAUUCUACCGCACAGCUAUUGUACCUUGCAAGCUCUAAAUGCCCCACAACAUCAAGCAAGAGCACAUUAUUCUGUUCUGCCAUUACAAUAACAAAAGGCAAUAACCCAAAUUUGCCUUUUGAAAUGAACCCAACAUUCCUUUUGAAGGAAAACCUUCCCUCAGAAGCUUGGUUAGAAGUCAUUUCUAAGAAAACUUCCCUGUGUGCUCCCUACUCCAGACCCCAAAGUGCUUCUCACAUAGUAUCGUCAUUGUAUAGGGGAUAUUCUCCCCACUAAAUCAUGAGUACUUUGAGUCCAAUAACCACCUCCGACUGUUUUGUGUAUCUCCAGCAUGGUAUCUGGUACCCAGCAGGUUUCUGAGAUUUGCCGAAAAAAUGAAUAGAUAUUUGAGUAGCAUCACUGCCAGGUGAUAUAAUAAGAGUAUGUGGUAGGAACUCAAGGGGAAGGGACUUUUCUCCCCCUUCCAACCAAUCUCUGGCCAUCAAAGAGAAUAUGGCAAGCCCUGAAAGUUAACAUGGUGCUUCCAUCCCCAGCAAACAGUAACUGAAAUGUAGGACAAAGUCUCUGAGCUUCCCGUGAUUUUGCCAUUUCUGUGGAAGAAGAAAACACCAUCUGCAGCACAUGUUUCUAUUCAGACUUGAACCUCACUUCAUCUCACCAGACAAUUCUGAAAGCACUUUAGCAUUCUUUCCGGUACCAUCCUUUUUAGCCUGUCUCUCCAGAAUCCUAUAGCCCCUACUCCUCCAGGAAGGAUUCCCCAGCUCAGUAGCCCACCAUGAUAUCUCCCUUCUAGCUCCUCUUUCUCACCAGAUGCACCAUUCAUUUCUUGUUUAUCAGAUGCUGCCUCUUAUUUGUCAGUUAUAGAUGGUCAGUGUGGGUGGAGAGAUGCAGUGUGGGCCAAUGAAGAUAUCACAAGCUCUGGGCUCAGAGAGACUUGGGUAUAAAUCCCAACCUGACCAGUGAAUAACUGUAGAACCUUAGAACAUUUAUUUAACCACUCCAAGGCAGUAAAAUUGGGAGUAAAACUUCACUCUCAGGAUUGUUGGGAGAUAUGCAGGGACCCUAAUAACUGAGGGCAUUUUCUCCAAAGCUGGGGAGCACAUGCUUUAUCUACAGACACCCCUGUAAUGGUGUACCUUUUAGAAAUAAUGCUUUGGUUAUUGCACAUAGAAUGGGUUGGAGAAGAGGCAGUAAAGGAGAGAAACCAGGCAGGAGAAUUUGCAGGAAUGGUCAUGGGUUGGCAGGGUGGAGAGGAGGUGUGGCAGUGUGAAGGUACCGGAAAUAGUAGUCUGAACAAAAGAGGUAACAAAUAAUAAUAAGAGCUAGUGUUUGUGAGCUUCUAUUCUGGGCCAGGAAUUAUGCUAUCGUGUUUUGGGAUUUUGUUUUAUCUUGUUAUUAAUCUAAAAUUUUUACUCUCCAUUUUAUAGAUGAGGAAACUGAGAUGCUGAGAGGUGAAACAAAGUAUCCAAAAUGACAAAAUGACAUACUAAGAAAACUUGGAUUCAAGUCUAGGCAAUCUCAUUUCAGAGCCUGACUGCUUAACCAUCAGACUAGCUCACAAUUGUAGCAGAGAUUGGAGAAAAACCAUUUAGAUAGUGAAACUGGCAGAACUUGCUAAAAUAUUGGCAAGAGUGGGUAAGAUAGAGGGUAGAGCAUAGGAUACUGUCACAUUUGUCUCACAAGGCCCACAGGCCCAGAGAGGCAGAGCCAGGAUUUUAACCCGAUUGUGUCUAAUGCCAAAGCACUUCCUCUUUUCAUAGCCUCAGAAAAUUUUACCUCAGACCUUAGUGAGGUAGAAAUCUGUACCUUCCCCAGAAUUUUAUAAUUCCUUUGUUUAAACCAUUAUACCAUGACUUUCUUUCCUUAAGACGUUGAAGGUAUAUAUUUCUUUACAAAGGGAUUAUCAAUUACAAAGAAAAUUUGACAGGAAAAUACAUUUGAUAGCUUUGCUUCUUUGGUGCCAAAACAAAUGCAAAAAAGGACUCCAAGUGCCUUUGGGAAUAGCCAGUAGAGGAAGGGCAGAACAUCCACUGUAGUCAGAGGGAGACUGGUGUGAGCUUGAGCUCUACAUUCAUUCGUCCCUUUACCAGGCCUUUCCCAAGGCUCUUCUGAGUGCCAGACUUGGGCUGGACACUGACACUGAAGGACAGUGCUGGAUAACGACCCCUGCCUGUAAAGCUCAUAACCAAGGUGUAAGAUGGACAAAUAGGUGGGCCUUCAAGUGCUAUUCGAAAGAAGAGGGAUGGUGUCCUCUACACAAGAGGAGAUGCUAUGUUUGUGUCUUGGCAUUGGGCAGAAGCCAAGCCAUGUGGCCUUGGGCGCAUUACUUCACGUAGCUUCCUUGUCUUUACUAGUGGGAACAAUCAAGCUUACAUUAACCUGUUCUUUACUCUCAGAUACUCAAGGACCUAUAGUGCUGGGUUAGUACUGAGAAUCUGGAGCCUUCACUGUUCCUGGGGUGGAUCAGGUUAGGCAUGCAGAUUGCAAAGCUUGAUGCUGAGAGUGGGAGCCAGUGGUCUAUGGUGGAGAUAAAACAGAGAAAUAGAGAAAGCCUAACCCUGGAUGCCUCUUGAAUGGGCCAGGUAGAAAUGUAAGUUCAAGUGUGAAGUGAAAGAUUGAAAACAAGACAUGAGUCCACAGCAUGUAUUAUAAUGGAGGGUGGGGCCAGAGGCAGGACCUAGAGACAGGCUCUGGGUAUUACUAGGAGCAUAGACAUUGGAACCUCUGUGGUACACUCUGGAUGGGGAGGGCUUCGUUAAGCAUGCUGAGUGGUCCAGCGCUAUUAGGAGAAUGAAAUGACAUUAUGCAUGUGAAGCACCCAGCAUACUUCCUAGUACAUUCAGUUAACUUUCAAUGAAUGUUAAUCAUAGAAUUGCUCUCUUUUUACAUCAGAGUACACCAAGAGCUUCCAAUGUGCUAGGUCCUGUGCUGGAUACUGAGAGGAAAGGAAUGAUUAAGAUGUAAUUUCUGUCCCCAGAAGCCCAGACUGAUGGAGAUCCAGACACAUAAAUAACAUGUUCCAAUUGAAGGUUCUAAAUGACAUGAUGGGGUAGACAUAGAGCUAUGGCAGGGUGAAGGGGCACUGUCCUAACCUAAUUGUUCCUGGAAGGCUCCCUGGAAGAGAUAAUGGCUAAGGUUACUGUUGAAGGUUAAGAAAGGGUUAGCCAGGCAAAAAUUAGUGAAAAAUCCAUGCUGGGAAUGGGCACAGCUUCAACAUACGCGUAGAACAGCAUGGUGUGAUCAAGAAAAUAGAAUAUAAGGAGAGGCAAGUGAUAAGGCUAGAGGGGAGGCAAGGAGACCAGAUCUGGAGACAAAGGAGCCUGGCCUCCAUCCUGAAACUUUCUAUCAACUGAUAGGAAGCCAGUGAAGAGUUUUAAGCAGAAAAUUAACAUGGCUGAUUUUGUGCUUUAAUUAGGUCACUCUGGCUGGUAGGGGAGAGGAUGUUAGAGAGUACCAGCUGGAGGCCAGGGGAAGUUUUUGUUUGAUGCUUUGAAAAAAAAAAAAAAAGUCAUUAUAGAGGCAAGGCUGGAUGGGAAUAAGGCAGAUAGAAGACAGGACUAAAGAAUGUGCAGCUCCCAGUCAGAACAGCAUGUGGAGACUCAUACUGUGAAUUUUUGCUCCAAGAAACACUGCAAAAACGUGCAAGGAAGACCAAAAGAGUUCAUAGAUUCUUUGGAAGAAGCAGCUUGCCAUUGCAAACUUCAUGAGACAGCCAAGAAACUGCAAGCUUUCAAAGUGUGAGAGGGGAAAACCUGCCUAUGAACACACAUCCCUACUGGGGAACCUGAAAAUCCAGAUCACGGGAGAAAGAUUCAACCUUACCUACAUCUGAUAUGGAUUUAGGGAGUUGAGCAAGAUACUAAAGUAGAAGAAGCUAUGAGGAAAGCCCUGUAGGCACUCUCAUUCCCCAGCUGAAGCCCAGGGAAGCCAUCCCUGACUUUAUCUCAUAGGAGUCCUUGGGGAAGGCAGCCAGAGGAACUAGGGAGGGGUCACAAGAUGAAAGAAGAUUCCAACUAAGCUUUGUAAUAAUUUUGACCAGCGGGGCGUGAACAGGAAUAGCUGUAGAUACAAGUGCAGUAUCUUCAACCAAUAUUGUGGGCAGGUGGGGAGGAGCAAGGCCAGAAAGCCACACUUGCUUUUUCAGUGAGGAAGCUUGUAGCCUGGGGCAAGGUUCAAGCCUUGAAUGUGGGCUGCCUGGAUAUAAAUUUGGUGCUGUCAGCGGGGAACAGUGGAGGGAGACUGGUCUUGCUGGGUGUGUGGGAACUGGGUGAGGCCUGUCACUGCCAGCUUUCCCCCAAUUUCCCUGGCAACCUGUGUGAUGCAACAGAGGCAGCCAUAAUCCACCUUGGAACCCGUAACUGCAUUGACCUGAGAACUACCCUCCUACAUCCCCUACAAUAGCCACAGUAAGCCACUCGCAAGGAGAGUCUGCGCUCAGACCCACCUAAACCUGCCCAAACCCGAUGGUUUUGCUCUACCUGCCCUGGCAGCUGAACUCAAAAGACAUCAACUCUUGGGAGCUUUAUGGCCCCAUGUAUCCAUUGCCUGAGAAACCUGAAUACUUACCUGUCCAACUUAGGGCAAGCUUAUAUCCUUUUUCUACUACCACAGCUGGUGCUCUCUUGAAAGAGAAUGAUCUUUGGGUAAACAAUGAAAUCAAGAUGGAAACUAAAAAUUCUUUGAACUGAGUGGUAAUGGUGAUACAAGCCAUCAAAACCUCUGGGAUACAGCAAAGGUGGUGCUAAGAGGAAAGUUCAUAGCAUUGAAUGCCCACAUCAAAAGGUGUGAAAUGGCACAAAUAGACAAUCUAAGCACACACCUCAAGGAACUAGAGAAACAAGAAAAAAAACAAACCUAAAACCAGCAGAAUAAAAGAAAUAACAAAGAUCAGAAUGGAACUAAAUGAAAUUGAAACAAACAAGCAAAAAGGGUAAAUGAAACAAAAAGCUGGUUCUUUGAAAAUAUAAACAUACUUGAUAGACCAUUAGUGAGAUUAAGCAAGGAAAGAACAGAGAUGGUCCAAAUAAGCUCAAUUUUAAAUGAAAUGGGAGAUAUUACAAUGGAUAUCAGAGAAAUACAAAAGAUUAUUCAAGGAUUCUCUGAGUACUUUAUGUACAAAACUAGAAAACCUAGAUGAGAGGAUAAAGUCCUGAAAAUGUACAACCCUCCAAAAUUAAACCAGGAAGAAACAGAAACUCUGAGCAGAUCAAUAACAAAUGGUGGUAUUGAAACAAUAAUUUUUAAAAUUGCCAACAAAAAAUGUCCAGGACCAGCUGGAUUCACAGCUGAAUUGUAUCAGAAUUCAAAGAAGAAUUGCUACCAAACCCACUGAAACUAUUCCAAAAGGUAUGAAAAGAGGGAAUCCUCCCUAAAUCAUUCUAUGAAGCCAGUAUUACCUUAAUACCAAAACCAGGAAAGGAUAUAACAAAAAAAGAAAACAAUAGACCAAUAUCUCUGAUGAACAUAGAUGCAAAAAUCCUCAAAAAAAUACUAGCUAACUUAACCCAACAGCAUAUCAGAAAGAUAAUACAUCAUGGUCAAGUGGGUUUCAUACCAGGGAAGUGGGGGAUGGUUUAACAUGUGCAAGUCAAUAAAUGUGAUACAUCACAUAAACAGAAUUAAAGACAAAAAAAAAUGAUCAUCUCAAUAGACACAGAAAAAGCAUUUGACAAAAUCCAGCAUCGCUUUAUGAUUAAAAUCCUCAGAAAAAUCAGCAUAGAAGGGUCAUUUCUCAACAUAAUAAAAGCCAUCUAUGACAAACCCACAGCCAACAUUUAUACUGAACAGGGAAAAGUUGAAAGCAUUCCCCCUGAGUACUAGAACAAGACAAGGAUACCCACUUUCACUCCUUCUAUUCGGCAUAGUAUUAGAAGUCCCAGCCACGGCAAUCAGAAAAGAGAAAGAAAUACAAGGCAUCCAAAUUAGUAAAGAGGGAGUUAAACUGUCACUGUUUACCAGUGAUGUGACUGUAUACCUAAAAAAUGCUGAAUACCUUUCCAGAAAGCUCCUAGAUCUGAUAAAUGAAUUUACUAAAGUUUCAGGACACAAAAUCAAUGUACACAAAUCAGUAGCACUGCUAUACACCAACAAUAACCAAUCUGAGAAUCAAAUAAAGAAUACAACCCCUUUUACAACAGCUGGAAAAAAUAACAUAAAAUACUUAGGAUUAUACCUAACCAAGGAGGUAAAAGAUCUCUACAAGGAAAACUAGAAAACACUGCUGAAAGAAAUCACAGAUGAAACAAAGAAAACACAGUUCACGUUAAUGGAUGGGUAGAAUCAAUAUUGUGAAAAUGACCGUGCUGCCAAAAGCAAUCUAUAAAUUCAAUGCAAUUCCCAUCAAAAUACCAUCAUCAUUCUUCACAGACCUAGAAAAACGAUCCUGAAAUUCACAUGGAACCAAGAAAGAGCCUGCAUAGUCAAAGCAAGACUAAGCAAAAAAUAAAUCUGGACGCAUCACAUUACCAGACUUCAAACUAUACUACAAAGCUAUAGUUACAUGGUACAGCAUGGUACGGGUCUAAAGAUAGGCAUAUAGACCAUUGGAACAGAAUAGAAAACCCAUAAAUAAUGCCAAAUACAGCCAACUGAUCUUUGACAAAGCAAACAAGAACCAAGUGCCUGGGGAAAGGACACCCUAUUCAACAAAUGGUGCUGGAAUAAUUGGCAAGCCACAUGUAGAAGAAUGAAACUGGAUCCUCAUCUCUUGCCUUAUACAAAAAUCAACUCAAAAUGGAUCAAACAGUUAAAUCUAAGACCUAAAACCAUAAAAAAUUCUGGAAGAUGACAUCAGAAAGACUCUUCUAGACACUGGCUUAGGCAGAGAGUCCAUGACCAGGAAAGCAAAUGCAACAAUAACGAAAGCAAUGCAACAAGAGCAAAGACAAAUAGAUGGGACCUAAUGAAACUAAAAGGAUUCUACACAGCAAAAGAAAUAAUCAGCAGAAUAAACAAGACAACCCACAGAUUGGGAGAAAAUCUUCACAAACUGUACAUCUGACAGAGGACUAAUAUCCAGACUCCAUAAAGAACUCAAAUAAAUCAGCAAGAUAAAAAAAAUCCCCAUCAGGCCGGGCGCGGUGGCUCAAGCCUGUAAUCCCAGCACUUUGGGAGGCCGAGGUGGGUGGAUCACGAGGUCAAGAGAUUGAGACCAUCCUGGUAAACAUGGUAAAACCCCGUCUCUACUAAAAUACAAAAAAUUAGCUGGGCAUGGUGGUGCGUGCCUGUAAUCCCAGCUACUCAGGAGGCUGAGGCAGUAGAAUUGCCUGAACUCAGGAAGCGGAGGUUGAGGUGAGCCGAGAUCGCGCCAUUGCACUCCAGCCUGGGUAACAAGAGCGAAACUCCUUCUCAAAAAAAAAAAAAAAAAAAUCCCCAUCAAAAAGUAGGCUAAGGAUGGGAGCUGGAGCCCCAUGAGAAAGAGAGGGAGGUUCUCUUAAGAGUUCAGCUGCGAGGCAGUAGCAGAGGAGGAAUGAUUGUGAAUACCCUCUCUCUGUGCUACCAUAACAAGCUAAUUCUGGCCCCAGUGGUUCGGGUAGGGACUCUUCCAAUGCGGCUGCUCGCCCUGGAUUAUGGAGCGGACAUUGUUUACUGUGAGGAGCUGAUCGACCUCAAGAUGAUUCAGUGCAAGAGAGUUGUCAAUGAGGUGCUUAGCACAGUGGACUUUGUUGCUCCUGAUGAUCGAGUUGUCUUCCGCACCUGUGAAAGAGAGCAGAACAGGGUUGUCUUCCAGAUGGGGACUUCAGACGCAGAGCGAGCCCUUGCUGUGGCCAGGCUUGUAGAAAAUGAUGUGGCUGGUAUUGAUGUCAACAUGGGCUGUCCAAAAGAAUAUUCCACCAAAGGAGGAAUGGAAGCUGCUCUGUUGUCAGACCCUGACAAGAUUGAGAAGAUCCUCAGCACUCUUGUUAAAGGGACACGCCAACCUGUGACCUGCAAGGUUCGCAUCCUGCCAUCGCUAGAAGAUACCCGGAGCCUUGUGAAGCGGAUAGAGAGGACUGGCAUUGCUACCAUUGUGGUUCCUGGGAGGAAGCAGGAGGAGCGACCUCAGCAUCCUGUCAGCUGUGAGGUCAUCAAAGCCAUUGCUGAUACCCUCUCCAUUCCUGUCAUAGCCAAUAGAGGAUCUCAUGACCACAUCCAAAGGUAUUCGGACGUAGAGGACUUUCGACAAGCCACGGCAGCCUCUUCCGUGAUGGUGGCUUGAGCUGCCAUGUGGAACCCAUCUAUCUUUCUCAAGGAGGGUCUGCGGCCCCUGGAGGAGGUCAUGCAGAAAUACAACAGAUACGCGGUGUAGUAUGACAACCACUAUACCAACACUAAGUACUGCUUGUGCCAGAUGCUAUGAGAACAGUUGGAUUCUCCCCAGGGAAGGUUGCUCCAUGCUGCCCAGUCUUCCCAGGAAAUUUGUGAGGCCUUUGGCCUUGGUGCCUUCUAUGAGGAGACCACACAGGAGCUGGAUGCCCAGCGGGCCAAGCUCUCAGCCAGGACUUCAGAGUAGACCGGGGAGCCAGCUGAAGAUACCUCUGGUGUGAUUAAGAUGGCUGUCAAGUUUGACCGGAGGGCAUAUUCAGCCCAGAUCACCCCCAAGAUGUGUCUGCUAGAGUGGUGCCAGAGAGAGAAGUUGCCACAGCCCAUGUAUGAAAUGGUUCAACGCCCUAUAGACUGCCUGUUCUCUUCUAUUGUCACCAUUGCUGAACAAAACUAUCAGUCUACCUUGUGGGACAAGUCCAAGAAACUGGCGGAGCAGGCUGCGGCCAUCAUAUGUCUGUGGAGCCAGGGCCUCCCUGAGGGUCAGCUGGGUGAGGAGAACCCUUCCUUGCACAAGCAAAAGAGGGAGGCUCCUGACCAUGACUGUGGGGGCUCCAGAGCUCAGGAGCUAGCAUAACCUGGGGAGCUGUGCAAGAAGCCCUUUGUGGCCUUGGGAAGCAGUGAAGAGAGCCCCCUGGAAGGCUGGUGACUACUCUUUCUGCCCUAGUCACCCCUCCAUGGUCUGGUGCUAAGGUGGCUGUGGAUACCACAGCAUGAACCAGAUGCUGUUGAACAAUUUGCUGGUCUUGCCUGGCAGGAGUUAG